GAUGAAGAACGCAGCGAAAUGCGAUAAGUAAUGUGAAUUGCAGAAUUCAGUGAAUCAUCGAAUCUUUGAACGCACAUUGCGCCCCCUGGUACUCCGGGGGGCAUGCCUGUUCGAGCGUCAUUUCACCACUCAAGCCUCGCUUGGUAUUGGGCAACGCGGUCCGCCGCGUGCCUCAAAUCGACCGGCUGGGUCUUCUGUCCCCUAAGCGUUGUGGAAACUAUUCGCUAAAGGGUGUUCGGGAGGCUACGCCGUAAAACAACCCCAUUUCUAAGGUUGACCUCGGAUCAGGUAGGGAUACCCGCUGAACUUAAGCAUAUCAAUAAGCGGAGGA
rnacentral:misc_RNA from 1 species